CACGGCUUUCCCUGCCUGCGCCACCUCUGAGUCCGCCUGCCAGGUGGGAAGGAGGGGGAGAGGGCACCAUUUAACAGGAGGGAUGAAUGGAACCUUACACUGGCUUUAAAAAGAGAGAAUGCAGAGAUCAGAAGAGAGCAAUAUACUACUGGUGGUGGACCUGUCUGGAAUAAUAGAGCACCGGCAACCUCCAUGGUAUACCAGACGAUUACCAUUUGGACAGUUCAGAUAAAGAACUGAGCACAAAUGGUAUAUAUACACCAAAGAAAGUAAAUUGGUUACUUCCUUUGGUAAAUAUAUUCCACUGUCUGUGUCAAUCUUUAUUCUUCUUUCAUUCUAAGGACCAUAUGAGUUUAUUUGUGCUUCAAACAGUGUUCUUUUUUCAGAGGAAAGGAAUCUGAACAGGUUGGAAGUGCCAGUGAACAGUGAGUGUGUACCCUCUACAUCUGCUAUAGCAUCCCUGAGAGAAGAUGCUGCCACCAUCUUUCAGCAGAGAUCAAAAGAGAUGACCAUGCAUGACAAGUUAGCCAGAGAAUUUCAUGAGCAUAAAAUGAAAUAUCUGAAGGAAGAACAUGAAUUGAAAUUGAGAAUUCUACAGGUUGAAUUGGACUGCUCUGCUCUGCCUGCGGUUACGGAACCCCUACCUGUCACAGACCUGCUGCUUUCAACUCUUAAUGAUCGGCUAUGAAAAGCCAACUGACAUUUAUUCCUGAUUAUUAUUUGACCAUGCUUGUCAUUCAUGAACAUUUUGAAAAUCUUGGCUCUCUCUAAUUUUCUCUUUCUUUCUCUCUCUCGGAGGACCUGAGCCCUAGGACCAUACGACUACCGGGCAUGAUGACUCCUUGCUGUCCCCAGUCCACCUGGCCUUGCUGCUAUUCCAGUUUCAACUGUUCUGCCUGCGGUUAUGGAACCGCCACCUGUCCCAGACCUGCUGUUUUCAACUCUUAAUGAUCGGCUAUGAAAAGCCAACUGAAAAUUAUUCAUGAUUAUUAUUUGACCAUGCUUGUCACUUAUGAACAUUUUGAACAUCUUGGCAUAGUUCUGUUAUAAUCUCCACCCGGCACAGCCAGAAGAGGACUGGCCACCCCUCAUAGCCUGGUUCCUCUCUAGGUUUCUUCCUAGGUUUUGGCCUUUCUAGGGAGUUUUUCCUAGCCACCGUGCUUCUACACCUGCAUUGCUUGCUGUUUGGGGUUUUAGGCUGGGUUUCUGUACAGCACUUCGAGAUAUUAGCUGAUGUACGAAGGGCUAUAUAAAAUAAACUUGAUUGAUAGAUUGAUAUGAAGUUGGAAGAGAGAGGUAUGAGCCAAAAAAGAUACAAUAAUGAGACAAUUGUGAUUACCAGCCACGGUGAACAAUAUGAUAUGUAAAAAAUAAAUGUUUUGUAAUUUGGAUA